UACGAAGGGUGCAAGCGUUACUCGGAAUUACUGGGCGUAAAGCGUGCGUAGGCGGUUUGUUAAGUCUGUCGUGAAAGCCCUGGGCUCAACCUGGGAAUUGCGAUGGAUACUGGCAAGCUAGAGUACGGUAGAGGAUGGUGGAAUUCCCGGUGUAGCGGUGAAAUGCGUAGAGAUCGGGAGGAACACCCGUGGCGAAGGCGGCCAUCUGGACCAGUACUGACGCUGAGGCGCGAAAGCUAGGGGAGCAAACAGGG
rnacentral:rRNA from 1 species